GAGAGAUUAGGCAGCAUUUGCACAUUCAGAGAGGAUUAAGGCAUGAAACUCCCUAGGAGCAGAAGACAACCCUUUGGUUUCUCUUCCCAGAGAGCGGGCUGGAGGAUCUCCUGGCUGAAGUGACUCAUCGCAGGGGUAGCUGAGCUGCUGCACAGCAUGAUGGGGAGAUGCUUCCUGCUAACCCAACCACAGCCGUCAGGAUCCUUGCUCCAUCUGACUGUGGUUUCUCUGUGCUCCCAUGGGAUGUCCUGAGUGGGUCAGACCUGGACCUGGAGGCAUGGCAGUGCCACGCUGUCCUUCAGACCAUGCAGAGAGCAACCUCCUCUUGCUCUGGUGGACCAACCCUGCAGACCUGCGGCAGACGGAGAGUGGCCAGGAUGUCCCAGGAUGAUGGUCUGAUGUUUGUGCGAGAUGCUGAGCUGCACUGAAAGGAGGCUCAGAUCUGCUGAGGAUGCCUUCGCUGGGGAUAUUUUCUACCUAAUCCAACACAAAGCUGCUCAGAAAUGGUGGAGGUGAGGAGAGGGGAACCAGGAGGGGAGAUGGACAGAGUGGUCAGGACAUGGCUCAGAGAACACCCUAUAUUGCUCGUUGAAACAUCUAUUCUCCACGUUUCCACUUGAAUUUCUCCAAGAUAAGUCUCCUGUUCCAAACUGAAGAUGUGAAUAUUUCUGACCAGCUUUUGCGCGUCAACUGGGCUUAAAAAAAAAAACCCAAGAAAACAAGACUAAAGCCUUGAAGAAAACAAAAAAAAGCCUUCCUUGAACUCCAUGGCUGGUGCUUGCAUUAGCAUAGGCAAUGUCUUCUGACAUCCGGGUGGCAGGCUGGAGCAUCUGUGCCGGAGGGCUUGGGGGUGUUGGUGGAGGAGGGAAGGAGGA